GACGAACGCUGGCGGCGUGCUUAACACAUGCAAGUCGAACGGAAAGGCCCUGCUUUUGUGGGGUGCCCGAGUGGCGAACGGGUGAGUAACACGUGAGUAACCUGCCCUUGACUUUGGGAUAACUUCAGGCAACUGGGGCUACUACCGGAUAGGAGCUCCUGCUGCAUGGUGGGGGUCGGACAGCUUCGGCGGUUGGGGAUGGACUUAGGGUUUAUUAGCUUGUUGGUGGGGUAGAGGCUUACCAAGGCGUCGGUCCGUAGCUGGUCUGAGAGGAUGAUCAGUCACACUGGAACUGAGAGACGGUCGAGGCUGCGACGGGAGGCAGCAGUGGGGAAUAUUGGACAAUGGGCGACAGCCUGAUCCAGCCAUGGCGCGUGUGUGAAGAAGGUCUUCGGAUUGUAAAGCACUUUAAGUUGGGAGGAAGGGCAGUAAGUUAAUACCUUGCUGUUUUGACGUUACCAACAGAAUAAGCACCGGCUAACUUCGUG
rnacentral:rRNA from 1 species